rnacentral:rRNA from 1 species
AUGGGAACGCGAAGAACCUUACCUAGACUUGACAUCUCCUGAAUAGUGUAGAGAUACAUGAAGCCCUUCGGGGCGAGGAAGACGGGUGGUGCAUGGUUGUCGUCAGCUCGUGUCGUGAGAUGUUGGGUUAAGUCCCGCAACGAGCGCAACCCUUAUUACUAGUUGCUACCAUUAAGUUGAGCACUCUAGUGAGACUGCCCGGGUUAACCGGGAGGAAGGCGGGAUGACGUCAAAUCAUCAUGCCCCUUAUGUCUAGGGCAACACACGUGCUACAAUGGUGAGUACAGAUAGAUGCGAUACCGCAAGGUGGAGCCAAACUCUAAAACUCAUCCCAGUUCGGAUUGUAGGCUGCAACUCGCCUACAUGAAGUUGGAAUUGCUAGUAAUCGCGAAUCAGAAUGUCGCGGUGAAUACGUUCCC